UAAGAUAUAGCUCACUUGGAAGAGCACCUGCAUUUGGAGCAGGAGGUUGGUGGUUCAAUUCCGCCUAUCUCUA
rnacentral:tRNA from 1 species